ensembl:lncRNA
UAUAUAUAUAUAUAUAUAAAAAUAAAUAAAGAGGGGUUCUAUGUACAUUUGACAAUGUUCAUCUUUCACACUAUACCUUUUUCUAAGAUACUCUAGGCUAGGGCCAGCCCAGUGUUAGACUAAAUAAUUAAAAUUAAGUGAUGUGAAAUGGAUUGUUUAGAGAUUGAAAAGUUUGAAGCUUUAAUAAAGAGAUAAAAAAAAUAAUAAUAAAAGAAUUAAAGAUUUCAUUUAAAGCUACAGUGAAACAGUAUCCAAUCAGUUAAAAUGAUGGUAUGUUAUAAUUUUUUUUUUUUUAUAUGGCCAAUGACGAGCUUGUGGACUUUCACUGCAUUAUAUGCAAACAAAUGAUAUGGAAAUAUUAUUUCGUUUAAUGUAUGUACAUGACCUGAGAUAAUGAUGUAUAUAUUAAAUUUUAACACAUACAUGCCUGCUUAAGACUGUAUUAUUUUCCUCGAGUAGGUAGAAUUCUAACUAUAGACAGCACAGCACAAUACUUACUUAAUGUUUGUUUGGCCCCUGGAUUUUUAAAGCAAGACAUUUCUCCACAGCAUUUUGGUCAAUUUAGUGAUCCUUCUUCUUGUUGUUGUUCUCUGACUGUGUUGAAUGUAGAUUUCUACAAUUUAGCUUUCUUUUUUUCCUUAUAAAGCCAAAAAUAUGAACCGCACUGCUGCCUGUUAAUGCGAAAUGUUAUGAACCCACUAAUAUACCCUGACCUGUCUGAAGAAGGAAAGAUAUACAAGCAUUGCACACAUAUAUGAAACACAAACUUUCAUUAAAAGGUGGUGCCAGGUCAUGAUGAAACAUGAGAAUUACAGUUGAAGAAUAGCUCUUGUUUUGAGUCAUCAGCUUUGGGCAAUUAUAUUUGUGUAGAUAUGCGUCAUUCCAAUGACUCCAUACAAAUAUUUUCUUUAGGGGAUCAAACAUAUUAUAUUGUGCCCCCAAUUCUGCUUUACUAUUCUACUGGUAGGUGAUUAUUUGACAUAAUAAUGGCAACUUUAAUUUAAAAUCCUAAACAUUGAUGCAUUCAGCUACUGGAAGAUUAAAGUAGUGAUGGAUUAAGCUGUAUUAUAUUACUCAACUCAUUUUAAUUUAAAAAGAAAAAAAAAAAAAAAAAA